rnacentral:rRNA from 1 species
AGUGAACGCUGGCGGUAGGCCUAACACAUGCAAGUCGAACGGCAGCACAGUAAGAGCUUGCUCUUACGGGUGGCGAGUGGCGGACGGGUGAGGAAUACAUCGGAAUCUACUUUUUCGUGGGGGAUAACGUAGGGAAACUUACGCUAAUACCGCAUACGACCUACGGGUGAAAGCAGGGGAUCUUCGGACCUUGCGCGAUUGAAUGAGCCGAUGUCGGAUUAGCUAGUUGGCGGGGUAAAGGCCCACCAAGGCGACGAUCCGUAGCUGGUCUGAGAGGAUGAUCAGCCACACUGGAACUGAGACACGGUCCAGACUCCUACGGGAGGCAGCAGUAGGGAAUAUUGGGCAAUGGGCGCAAGCCUGAUCCAGCCAUACCGCGUGGGUGAAGAAGGCCUUCGGGUUGUAAAGCCCUUUUGUUGGGAAAGAAAAGCAGCAGGUUAAUACCCCGCUGUUCUGACGGUACCCAAAGAAUAAGCACCGGCUAACUUCGUG